rnacentral:pre_miRNA from 1 species
UCGGGGUAAAAUAGUGAGUAGCCGACUUGGGGAAGUGAUCGACCCUUGGGAUAAGUUUAAAUCUGCUUUUGUAAACCCCAUAAACUUUCUACCGUGGGUAAAAAGAAUCUUUUUGGGGUAAAAAAAAAAAACCAGAUUUAAAUUUAGCCCAAGAGUGGAUGAUGUAUUUUCUCCAAGAAGGCUGCUCACUAUUUUACUUCAA